CCUCUUCGAUCUGCUGCGGGCAGAUGAAGUGGAUGUGGGUGUCGAUGCCGCCGGCGGUGAGGAUCAUGCCCUCGCCGGCGAUCACCUCGGUGCUGGCGCCGAUGGCGAUGGUGACGUCGGGCUGGAUGUCCGGGUUGCCGGCCUUGCCGAUGGCGGCGAUGCGCCCGUCCUUGAGGCCCACGUCGGCCUUGACGAUGCCCCAGUGGUCGAUGAUCAGCGCGUUGGUGAUCAGCGUGUCGACCACCUCGGCGGCCAGCAGCUGGCCCUGGCCCAUGCCGUCGCGG
rnacentral:sRNA from 1 species